UACGUAGGUGGCGAGCGUUGUCCGGAAUUACUGGGUGUAAAGCGCGUGUAGGCGGGAGGCCAAGUCUGCUGUGAAAUCGCCCGGCUCAACUGGGCGGGGUCGGUGGAAACUGGUCACCUGGAGGACGGUAGAGGCGAGUGGAAUUCCCGGUGUAGUGGUGAAAUGCGUAGAGAUCGGGAGGAACACCAGUGGCGAAGGCGGCAUCCUGGACCGGCAUUGACGCUGAGGAGCGAAAGCCAGGGGAGCAAACGGG
rnacentral:rRNA from 1 species